rnacentral:rRNA from 1 species
UACGUAGGGUGCAAGCGUUGUCCGGAAUUAUUGGGCGUAAAGAGCUCGUAGGCGGUUUGUCGCGUCGAAUGUGAAAACCCGGGGCUCAACCCCGGGCCUGCAUUCGAUACGGGCAGACUAGAGUGCGGUAGGGGAGUCUGGAAUUCCUGGUGUAGCGGUGAAAUGCGCAGAUAUCAGGAGGAACACCGGUGGCGAAGGCGGGACUCUGGGCCGAUACUGACGCUGAGGAGCGAAAGCGUGGGGAGCAAACAGG